rnacentral:tRNA from 1 species
GCUCGCUUAGCUUAGUCGGUAGAGCUCAAAGCUUAACCUUGUGGUCGUUGGUUCGAGUCCCACGGUGGGCU